UACGUAGGGUGCAAGCGUUGUCCGGAAUUAUUGGGCGUAAAGAGCUCGUAGGCGGUUUGUCGCGUCUGCUGUGAAAACCCGAGGCUCAACCUCGGGCCUGCAGUGGGUACGGGCAGACUAGAGUGCGGUAGGGGAGAUUGGAAUUCCUGGUGUAGCGGUGGAAUGCGCAGAUAUCAGGAGGAACACCAACAGCGAAGGCAGAUCUCUGGGACGUUACUGACGCUGAGACGCGAAAGCGUGGGGGAGCAAACAGG
rnacentral:rRNA from 1 species